rnacentral:rRNA from 1 species
AGUACAGACGAGUUUGAUCCUGGCUCAGAGCGAACGCUGGCGGCAGGCCUAACACAUGCAAGUCGAACGGGUGUAGCAAUACAUCAGUGGCGCACGGGUGAGUAACACGUGGGAACGUACCCUUCACUACGGAACAACGUCGGGAAACUGACGCUAAUACCGUAUAAUGUCUCCGGACCAAAGAUUUAUCGGUGAAGGAUCGGCCCGCGUCUGAUUAGCUAGUUGGUGAGGUAAUGGCUCACCAAGGCGACGAUCAGUAGCUGGUCUUAGAGGAUGAUCAGCCACACUGGGACUGAGACACGGCCCAGACUCCUACGGGAGGCAGCAGUGAGGAAUCUUGGACAAUGGGCGCAAGCCUGAUCCAGCCAUGCCGCGUGAGUGAUGAAGGCCUUAGGGUUGUAAAGCUCUUUUGCCGGGGAUGAUAAUGACCGUACCCGGAGAAUAAGCCACGGCUAAAUUCGUG